GAUGAACGCUGGCGGCGUGCCUAAUACAUGCAAGUCGAGCGAACAGACGAGGAGCUUGCUCCUCUGACGUUAGCGGCGGACGGGUGAGUAACACGUGGAUAACCCACCUAUAAGACUGGGAUAACUUCGGGAAACCGGAGCUAAUACCGGAUAAUCUAUUGAACCGCAUGGUUCAAUAGUGAAAGACGGUUUUGCUGUCACUUAUAGAUGGAUCCGCGCCGCAUUAGCUAGUUGGUAAGGUAACGGCUUACCAAGGCAACGAUGCGUAGCCGACCUGAGAGGGUGAUCGGCCACACUGGAACUGAGACACGGUCCAGACUCCUACGGGAGGCAGCAGUAGGGAAUCUUCCGCAAAGGGCGAAAGCCUGACGGAGCAACGCCGCGUGAGUGAUGAAGGUCUUCGGAUCGUAAAACUCUGUUAUUAGGGAAGAACAAAUGUGUAAGUAACUAUGCACGUCUUGACGGUACCUAAUCAGAAAGCCACGGCUAACUACGUG
rnacentral:rRNA from 1 species